rnacentral:tRNA from 1 species
CUAUGCAUGGCACGGGUUUGGGGCACUUCUUGUGCCUACAGACUGUCGAACCCGAGGUAUUUCCUGCUCGGUGCGGGGGGCAUAGUCC